rnacentral:misc_RNA from 1 species
CCGAGUGAGGGCCCUCUGGGUCCAACCUCCCACCCGUGUGUAUUUUACCUUGUUGCUUCGGCGGGCCCGCCUUUACUGGCCGCCGGGGGGCUCACGCCCCCGGGCCCGCGCCCGCCGAAGACGCCCUCGAACUCUGUCUGAAGAUUGUCGUCUGAGUGAAAAUGGAAAUUAUUUA